CCUUUCAGCCCAGGGAAGGCGAGGAGGCGAUCCGAAGGAGCAGCGCCCUCCUCUCGCCUCGCUUCUACUUUCCUCAGCAGGCAGCGGAGGGAGGGAGCGUCGUUCUCUGUAGUGUGUCGUACCGCAGCGCACGCUCUCCGCCUCGCCCCCCCUUAUCAUCGGGCGGGCGGCUGACUCAGUGCUGUGGUGGUGGGUGGAGGGAACGGGCAUGCGAGAGCUCCGGGAGACCGUGGCUGCCGCUAAAGAACAGCAGCGCGCUGCAUCAGCCUCGGCCGGGCCGCUGGGAGUCGCCGUGCUCGUUUGUGUGCCCAGUUCCCACCGCUUCCACAUGGCACAAGAGCAUUUCGGAAGAUUUACUGCAUGAGUAUCAAGGUUUAUGAGUAAAAAUCGUUUGCAGACAUUGGCACCUUCGCUUAGACUGGGCUAAACACGACCAGACUUCUGUAAUAUCAAAAUUUAAAUACGGCAUAAUCCCUAAGGAAAAAAAUACUUGUAAAAAAGAAAUUACUGUACCGUAUUGCGGUUUAUACACAGACAGUCAUGAAAAAUGAUGAGAUUCUGCUGUGAGAUAGACUGGGGAUCACACUGGUAGUAAUUUGCUUUCCAACACCUCUGAAGUUAAGUGCAGGGUGUUUCUUAAGAGUGUAGAGAUAAUUAGAGGAGAUGGCAUUUUGUAUGUUGGAAAUCACAUGGAAAUGAAAAAAGCAACUGUUAAAAUGACAAGCAUAGUGGUAAGACUCAAAAACAUGCACCAGAGUUCAAAUGUCUUACUAAAAUAAGCUCGAGUGGAUGUGCACAAAGUAAAGAAAAAGGGAUAUGCAAGUGAUUUAAAUCUAUUAAAGCAGAUGUAUAACAUAUUUCUUGUGUUUCAUUAGUAUUUUAUAAUUUUCUGUGUGAAAAACCUACACUCUCUCAAUCUUUUUCCUCAUCUGAUCCUACAGUAUAGCCUCACCAUCCUUAUUUUUAAUCACAUUAAUUUCUGUAGUAAUAGAGGAUGAUCUCACUGGAGGGAGGUGAAGUAAAAAGUUUCUCAUGGACCAUCUAUAGAAAAGACCAGAAAAAGUACUGGCUUAAAACCUUCAUUUUUAUUUGACAUUUAUUCUGCAGAAGGACUCACCUGCUGAGAGAUUCUCUUUAUAGACAAUCAUCAUUAAAAACAUUUUGGGCUGUUUUGGUUUGCCCUAGUUGGUGGGAAGAGUCUUUUGUUCAUUCUUGAGUAGAAGGUUUGUGGAGAGCUUUCUGAAAUGUGGCAUGUCCCAGGUCUUUAUGGGAUCUCUAUUAAUGUAUUCCUGUUAAAGAGGAUUUUUUUUCAAUCAUUUGUACAUUUUUCUACAAUGAAGUAUUGAUUUUUUCAUACUGCUAGUCUUUUUGAUAUCAUAGACUGCACAUUUUUCUUCAAUGAUGCUGUAAAAUGCAUAUCUCCUUGAGAGCGGGAAUGCAUUUUUGUCACUUGAAAGAGCAGUUGUUUACUUGACUGAAAAGCUGUGUACAGUGCAGUUAAAACAGGCAGUGGUACAGGAUGGCACAGUAGCAAUUCAGUAGCAAUUUGGAGUUCAGCAUUUCUAAUGAAUUGCUAAACAUGUUAUAUACAUUAUAUAUAUGUAUAUACAUUUCAUUAUAAAUCUUCAAUUAGAAGCCAGAAAAUGAAAGUUAUGUUUGAACUUCUACUAUGAAAUGACUGCAGUUACAAAAUGAUCAAUUAUUUAUGAAUAUGCCUUUAAUGAUUAAAUGAUUACUGAAGCUCGUAUAAAGCUUGCUCUGUUAAUGAGUUUCAGCUAAAAAUAAGUAAAUGAAUGAAUGAAGUAUCACUGGAUCUGCCUUUGAAUAUUUUUUUUUCUUUACUGUUGUUGUUUUAUAUAGUAGGUUAAUAUAGAUCCCUUGCCAUAUGUAAUUGAACUUACUGAUUUACUGUCUCCCUUUUCUCUGGAAAUCUCUCUGUAAAACUGUUUAGCUCAAUUAAGGCAUUCCAUGGGUGGACUCUUACUCAGUCCUUUUCAGAGUGAUUGUCACCUAAGAAAUUAUUUCUAGGAUGAAUCUGUAAAUCAGUUAAAUUGAAUACUUUGAACAAUGUCAACUCCCACAAUAAUAUGUGUACAGUUUUAAAAGAUUUUGUCACUCUAACAAAUUGUACAAGAGAAAAAAUAUAUUUACCUCUGCAAUGUUUUCUCUUUCUGCAGUUCUUAAUAUCUGUUUUUUUGGUCCCACACUUUAGCAUUUCUAAUUUGAAUCUUUUGUUUCAUGAUUAUUGCACUUUCUGAUUAGGAAUGUAGUAGUGUUGGCAUAAAUAUAGGAUCAUAGUGUAACUUAAUUCCUGAUGUCAAUCUGUAUUUUCUCUUCUGUGUCCUCCCUAUUCUUCUCUCUCUCUCUCUCUCUCUCUCUCUCCCUCUCUCUCACCCCUGCGACCCUCCCUUUGUGGAAAGAAUAACUUCACGUAUUAAUUUAACUGGUAGAUUGGUUUACUGAUGAAGACUCAUUUAUUUAAGAGCAUUUUAAGAAAUUCUGACAACCUCAUCAAAUUGUUUCUGUCAUUUCCAUUUGUGUCCUUCCUUUCCAGUAGUUUCCAUCUCCUCAGUUCAGGUACCAUCACUCAGCAAUUCAUUUGACACAACUGAACAUACUUUACUUUUUCUUUUUCCUCCCCAGCUGUACUAGAUCAAAGCUGUAGUAGAUCAAAGUUCAAACUUACCAAGAAACUAACCAAUGAAACAGUUUAUUCCGUUGCCACUUUUUCACUUCUCUUCCACAAUGUAAAGGUAGCUCUUGGCAGUUUAAGGAGUUGAAAGUAUCCAAGUCUAUUUGAAACCAUAUUGCUUCUGAAAAUAUUUUGGCCUGAAUAUUGUUUCUAAUAUGAUUUCCUGUUCUAAGUAAGUAGCAGCGCUUUCUUCUAUGUGUUAUAAUUGAAAAUAUUACUUGUAAUUAUUUCUAUGGUUUUAAGCAACUUAAAUUGUGCAAGAUGGUUUGGUUACGGGAAUAAACUACUCCUCUUUAUUGAUGUACAUA